rnacentral:rRNA from 1 species
UACAGGGGAUGCAAGUGUUAUCCGGAAUCAUUGGGCGUAAAGCGUCUGCAGGUUGAUAUUUAAGUCUUUUGUUAAAGCUUUGGGCUUAACCCAAAAUCUGCAAAAGAAACUAUUUAUCUUGAGUAUGGUAGAGGUAAAGGGAAUUUCCGGUGGAGCGGUGAAAUGCGUAGAUAUCGGAAAGAGCACCAAUUGCGAAGGCACUUUACUGGGCCAGAACUGACACUCAGAGACGAAAGCUAAGGGAGCGAACAGG